AGGGAGGGGUGGAUCGGAGCGAAAAGGCAGGAGAGAGAAGGCCUCUUCACCGGGUGCAAACAUACACCCUCUCUCUCCUUUUGCAAGCGUGCAUUCCGGUUUGGUUGAGCCGCAAUGUGAGCAGCUAAGGGCAGGAUAAACCCCUCCCUGCUCAGGACUGCUUUUGCUACAUCCCAGGAAAUUUGGUAUGAUGUGUCAUCAUUAUCAUUUUCCUUCACAUAACUAUCAGUUGUUUCAACCAUGAUUUGAUCUUUAAUAAAAUCUCAUUAUUUUUAAGACUCCA